GAUGAACGCUGGCGGCGUGCCUAAUACAUGCCAGUCGAGCGAACAGACGAGGAGCUUGCUCCUCUGACGUUAGCGGCGGACGGGUGAGUAACACGUGGAUAACCUACCUAUAAGACUGGGAUAACUUCGGGAAACCGGAGCUAAUACCGGAUAAUAUAUUGAACCGCAUGGUUCAAUAGUGAAAGACGGUUUUGCUGUCACUUAUAGAUGGAUCCGCGCCGCAUUAGCUAGUUGGUAAGGUAACGGCUUACCAAGGCGACGAUGCGUAGCCGACCUGAGAGGGUGAUCGGCCACACUGGAACUGAGACACGGUCCAGACUCCUAAGGGAGGCAGCAGUAGGGAAUCUUCCGCAAUGGGCGAAAGCCUGACGGAGCAACGCCGCGUGAGUGAUGAAGGUCUUCGGAUCGUAAAACUCUGUUAUUAGGGAAGAACAAAUGUGUAAGUAACUAUGCACGUCUUGACGGUACCUAAUCAGAAAGCCACGGCUAACUACGUG
rnacentral:rRNA from 1 species